rnacentral:rRNA from 1 species
GAUGAACGCUGGCGGCGUGCCUAAUACAUGCAAGUCGAGCGAACAGACGAGGAGCUUGCUCCUCUGACGUUAGCGGCGGACGGGUGAGUAACACGUGGAUAACCUACCUAUAAGACUGGGAUAACUUCGGGAAACCGGAGCUAAUACCGGAUAAUAUAUUGAACCGCAUGGUUCAAUAGUGAAAGACGGUUUUGCUGUCACUUAUAGAUGGAUCCGCGCCGCAUUAGCUAGUUGGUAAGGUAACGGCUUACCAAGGCAACGAUGCGUAGCCGACCUGAGAGGGUGAUCGGCCACACUGGAACUGAGACACGGUCCAGACUCCUACGGGAGGCAGCAGUAGGGAAUCUUCCGCAAUGGGCGAAAGCCUGACGGAGCAACGCCGCGUGAGUGAUGAAGGUCUUCGGAUCGUAAAGCUCUGUUAUUAGGGAAGAACAAAUGUGUAAGUAACUAUGCACGUCUUGACGGUACCGAAUCAGAAAGCCACGGCUAACUACGUG